rnacentral:rRNA from 1 species
UAAGCCCACGGCUCGGCAUCGAGCAGAGGGAAAAGGAGCAAUCCGCUUUGAGAUGGCCUCGCGUCCGAUUAGCUAGUUGGUGAGGUAACGGCCCACCAAGGCGACGAUCGGUAGCCGGACUGAGAGGUUGAACGGCCACAUUGGGACUGAGACACGGCCCAGACUCCUACGGGAGGCAGCAGUGGGGAAUAUUGCACAAUGGGGGAAACCCUGAUGCAGCGACGCCGCGUGGAGGAAGAAGGUCUUCGGAUUGUAAACUCCUGUUGUUGAGGAAGAUAAUGACGGUACUCAACAAGGAAGUGACGGCUAACUACGUGCCAGCAGCCGCGGUAAAACGUAGGUCACAAGCGUUGUCCGGGAUUACUGGGUGUAAAGGGAGCGCAGGCGGGAAGACAAGUUGGAAGUGAAAUCCAUGGGCUCAACCCAUGAACUGCUUUCAAAACUGUUUUUCUUGAGUAGUGCAGAGGUAGGCGGAAUUCCCGGUGUAGCGGUGGAAUGCGUAGAUAUCGGGAGGAACACCAGUGGCGAAGGCGGCCUACUGGGCACCAACUGACGCUGAGGCUCGAAAGUGUGGGUAGCAAACAGGAUUAGAUACCCUGGUAGUCCACACCGUAAACGAUGAUUACUAGGUGUUGGAGGAUUGACCCCUUCAGUGCCGCAGUUAACACAAUAAGUAAUCCACCUGGGGAGUACGACCGCAAGGUUGAAACUCAAAGGAAUUGACGGGGGCCCGCACAAGCAGUGGAGUAUGUGGUUUAAUUCGACGCAACGCGAAGAACCUUACCAAGUCUUGACAUCCUGCGGCGGUGCUGGAAACAGUACUUUCCUUCGGGACGCAGAGACAGGUGGUGCAUGGUUGUCGUCAGCUCGUGUCGUGAGAUGUUGGGUUAAGUCCCGCAACGAGCGCGACCCUUAUGGUCAGUUACUACGCAAGAGGACUCUGGCCAGACUGCCGUUGACAAAACGGAGGAAGGUGGGGAUGACGUCAAAUCAUCAUGCCCUUUAUGACUUGGGCUACACACGUACUACAAUGGCGUUAAACAAAGAGAAGCAAGACCGCGAGGUGGAGCAAAACUCAGAAACAACGUCCCAGUUCGGACUGCAGGCUGCAACUCGCCUGCACGAAGUCGGAAUUGCUAGUAAUCGCAGAUCAGCAUGCUGCGGUGAAUACGUUCCCGGGCCUUGUACACACCGCCCGUCACACCAUGAGAGCCGGGGGGACCCGAAGUCGGUAGUCUAACCGCAAGGAGGACGCCGCCGAAGGUAAAACUGGUGAUUGGGGUGAAGUCGUAACAAGGUA